rnacentral:rRNA from 1 species
AUUGAACGCUGGCGGCAGGCCUAACACAUGCAAGUCGAGCGGAUGAAGGGAGCUUGCUCCUGGAUUCAGCGGCGGACGGGUGAGUAAUGCCUAGGAAUCUGCCUGGUAGUGGGGGAUAACGUCCGGAAACGGGCGCUAAUACCGCAUACGUCCUGAGGGAGAAAGUGGGGGAUCUUCGGACCUCACGCUAUCAGAUGAGCCUAGGUCGGAUUAGCUAGUUGGUGGGGUAAAGGCCUACCAAGGCGACGAUCCGUAACUGGUCUGAGAGGAUGAUCAGUCACACUGGAGCUGAGACACGGUCCAGACUCCUACGGGAGGCAGCAGUGGGGAAUAUUGGACAAUGGGCGAAAGCCUGAUCCAGCCAUGCCGCGUGUGUGAAGAAGGUCUUCGGAUUGUAAAGCACUUUAAGUUGGGAGGAAGGGCAGUAAGUUAAUACCUUGCUGUUUUGACGUUACCAACAGAAUAAGCACCGGCUAACUACGUG